rnacentral:lncRNA from 1 species
AUGCUACCAUGUCCUUCAUACUCAACCUCAACACCACGGCAACCAACCAUGGGUCAUGAUCACUGGAAUAAAAGCUGUCUGCUUGAGGCUAUAGAGCUCUGUCUGGCAUCAGGGGCUCUCUGCAAUGCUGUAGGUGUUCUGAAAAGUGGCUACCCUAAUGAGGGAAAUGACUGGCACUGGUUGGGAUGGAUCAGACAGGUGGUUCCAAUGCAGCAUUGGAAGUUCCUUACAAUGGCAAACAGAGAACCUGGCCUCUCUUAUCAACUUAUGCAAAGGUAA